AUUGAACGCUGGCGGCAUGCCUUACACAUGCAAGUCGAACGGUAACGGGCCUUCGGGUGCCGACGAGUGGCGGACGGGUGAGUAAUACAUCGGAACGUGCCCGAUCGUGGGGGAUAACGAGGCGAAAGCUUUGCUAAUACCGCAUACGAUCUACGGAUGAAAGCAGGGGACCGCAAGGCCUUGCGCGGAUGGAGCGGCCGAUGGCAGAUUAGGUAGUUGGUGGGAUAAAAGCUUACCAAGCCGACGAUCUGUAGCUGGUCUGAGAGGAUGAUCAGCCACACUGGGACUGAGACACGGCCCAGACUCCUACGGGAGGCAGCAGUGGGGAAUUUUGGACAAUGGGCGCAAGCCUGAUCCAGCCAUGCCGCGUGCAGGAUGAAGGCCUUCGGGUUGUAAACUGCUUUUGUACGGAACGAAAAGCCUUCUUUUAAUACAGGAGGGUCAUGACGGUACCGUAAGAAUAAGCACCGGCUAACUACGUG
rnacentral:rRNA from 1 species